AGAGCGAACGCUGGCGGCAGGCCUAAAACAUGCAAGUCGAACGGACCCUUCGGGGUUAGUGGCGGACGGGUGAGUAACACGUGGGAACGUGCCUUUUGGUUCAGAACAACUCAGGGAAACUUGAGCUAAUACUGAAUAAGCCCUACGGGGGAAAGAUUUAUCGCCAUUAGAGCGGCCCGCGUUGGAUUAGCUAGUUGGUGAGGUAAAGGCUCACCAAGGCUACGAUCCAUAGCUGGUCUGAGAGGAUGAUCAGCCACACUGGGACUGAGACACGGCCCAGACUCCUACGGGAGGCAGCAGUGGGGGAAUAUUGCGCAAUGGGCGAAAGCCUGACGCAGCGACGCCGCGUGAGGGAUGAAGGCCUUCGGGUUGUAAACCUCUUUCAGCAGGGACGAAGCGAAAGUGACGGUACCUGCAGAAGAAGCACCGGCUAACUACGCGCCAGCAGCCGC
rnacentral:rRNA from 1 species